UACGUAGGGGGCUAGCGUUGUCCGGAUUUAUUGGGCGUAAAGAGCUCGUAGGCGGUUCGGUAAGUCGGGUGUGAAAACUUUGGGCUUAACCCAAAGCGUGCAUCCGAUACUGCUGUGACUUGAGUUCGGUAGGGGAGUGGGGAAUUCCUAGUGUAGCGGUGAAAUGCGCAGAUAUUAGGAGGAACACCGGUGGCGAAGGCGCCACUCUGGGCCGAAACUGACGCUGAGGAGCGAAAGCGUGGGUAGCAAACAGG
rnacentral:rRNA from 1 species